UUAUCGCAAGUUCAGGACGGGUUUGAAAACAGAAGUUGAUGAACUUUUGAAGACCGAAAAGGAAGAGAAUCCAAUGCGCAUAGUUUAUAGUUUUGGCAUCUGUCAUGAACAUUCUGGCACAUUUGUAUUGACUUACAUAAGAAGUACAAAUCCACACCAUGAGUACAUUGGUCUUUACCCCAAAGGAUUCAGGUUCCGCAAAAAGAUGUUUGAGGAUAUUGACCGGCUUGUGGCAUAUUUUCAAAGGCACAUCGAUGAUCCACAAAAUGAUUCAGCACCUUCCAUUAGGUCAGUAGCUGCAAUGGUGCCAAUGCGAAGCCCUGCUACUGGUGGCUCAUCAGGAGCAUCUGUGGGUAGUGGCUGGGGUGGUUCAAACAGCGAGGGUGGUUGGAGAGGUCCCUCGUAUGAUAGGGACCGGUCUUCUACUCCUGGUUCCAGAACAGGUAUGAGAUUUUAAAUUCAGCUCUAGUUUGAGGUGAAUCUAAUUAUUUUGUUUGGAUUUCUUCUGCUAGUAUUGCGCCUGCUUUGACAUUAAAUAUAAUUAGUUAUCAUGAAUCCUCUUGUUAUCAACAUGUUGAUUGGUUCCUUCUUCUGUGCAUUUUGUUCUACAUCUACCUGUUCUCUUUGUCUGCAGUUCACAUAUCAUUCAACUAAUUGCUUCCGCAUGUCAUUUUUCUAGUUCUUUUUAUUCAAAAUUAACUGUUUCUUUAUUUUUACAGGACGACCUGAUUACAGAAAUAAUGGGAAUCGAGAUGAACACCCUAGUGGAUUGCCUCGUCCAUAUGGUGGUGGUCGAGGGCGUGGUCGCGGUUCUUAUAGUAAUAAUAGUAGAGGACACAACUCCAACCACGAAAGACGUGCCGGUGCAACCAGAUGGGGAUCUGCUGUGAAAGACGGGGAUGACAGUUUAAGCAACUUCCCAGGGGCUAAGGUUCAAAAUUCCCCUGGAAGAGAAGCAUUUCCAGGUGGUUGGGGAGGUGGAGCUAGUGGUGGUGACAAAAGUGGCUGGGGAGGUGGAGCUAAUGGUGGUGACAAAAGUGGCUGGGGAGGUGGAGCUAGUGGUGGUGACAAAAGUGGAUGGGGAGGUGGAGCUAGUGGUGGGGACAAAAGUGGCUGGGGUGCUGGUCCAAGCGAUGCUGAACAGGGAAACUCUGGUUGGGGAACUGGAUCCAAGAAAGCCGGAGACAAUGGAUGGUCUGGAAACUGACCGGGCGGAAUCCACAGAGCAUUCACAUUCAUCUGUAAUUUCUCUUUAAAUCCACUCAUUUGAAUGAUAAAAUGUGGAUUAUUAAUUUAUUAGAGUAAUUGUAGUUGAUCUUGACUAUGGAACUCUGCAUUUCGUUUUCACAUUAAAAUUUCGAUUAUAUGUUCAUCGAACGACAACUGUCGAAUAUGAUUUAUAGUUUACUAAUAAGAUAAGAGGCCUGGUUGCUCGAGCUGGUGCGGAGGGGAACCUCCCGCUGUACAGGCCAUGAUAAUUUUAUGGCAGAAUUUGAUCUACGUAGCCGACCCCAUUCAGUGAGAUAAAUCUUGAUUGUUGUUAUCUGAUGUGUGUAAUAUCAAAUUGAUAUGCUUAACUGACGUAUGACGUUUUCACAGUUGCAGCUUUUCUACCGAUGGAAGUACUAAAGCGCGGAGAACUUUAGCGAUCAUAAAGCCGGAUGGAUUGCUCGGUAACUACACAGAUGAUAUCAAGAGAACAAUUUCAGAAUAUGGUUUCAGCAUUGUCAAGGAACAGAUUGUUCAACUUGGCGAGGCGACUGUGAAAAGAUUUUAUGCAGAACACUCUUCAAAAAGCUUCUUUUCAAGCCUAGUUAAAUACAUGACAAGGUUCGUCCAUUUUAAGGCCAAACUCCGUUCCGCUGAGCAAUUUUUUUUCAUAUUGCUAAUGGAUUCGAUCAAUAAGCACACAUGUCUAGCUUCAUCACUAUGUCUGAUAAUGUUAUCGGUUCAUCCAUAUGAUUUCUGUUUAAUUGCAUGUUUAUAGUCUUUUAUCAUCUUUAAUCUUCUCUUUUGCUUCUCCAUAACUAUAAUCAGUGGACCAGUGUUAGUCAUGGUUUUGGAAAAGGAUAAUGUUGUUGCUGAUUGGCGCGCUUUAAUGGGUCCUACUGAUGCAAGCAAGGCCAAGAUUACUCACCCUCACAGGUUUCCAUAAACAUGUUUACUAAUCAAACUAAUUUUGCUUGUUUAAUCGAUUUCUCUAUGCUUAACUUGUUUAUUAAUUUGAACAGCAUUAGAGCAAAAUGUGGAUUGGACACUGAAAAAAAUUGUGUUCAUGGUUCAGACUCUACCAAAUCUGCACAAAGAGAGAUACUAUUUUUCUUCGACGAGCUCGCUCCAGGUGAGUAAUUUUACUCGAGAAUUCAUAAUAUAAAGAUACUUGCUUAUUUAAGUAUUCUUUUGAGAAAGAUUAUAUUCGAAUUAUCAUAAACCUUUGCCUCACCAAUUCUUAUGGCAGAUGCAAUUACAGAACACGAUGAAUUAAUGCGCAUAGUUUAUAGUUUUGGCAUCUGUCAUGAACAUCCUGGCACAUUUGUAUUGACUUACAUAAGAAGUACAAAUCCACACCAUGAGUACAUUGGUCUUUACCCCAAAGGAUUCAGGUUCCGCAAAAAGAUGUUUGAGGAUAUUGACCGGCUUGUGGCAUAUUUUCAAAGGCACAUCGAUGAUCCACAAAAUGAUUCAGCACCUUCCAUUAGGUCAGUAGCUGCAAUGGUGCCAAUGCGAAGCCCUGCUACUGGUGGCUCAUCAGGAGCAUCUGGUGCAGUAGCUGCUGGUGCAGUACCUUUAAUUUAAGAGUCCUAGGUCAGAAAAUAAUGCCUCGUUACGACUACAAAUCUUGACUCUCUAAGUAGCAACGGUACACGGAAAUUACACUUUGUUCUCGUGUUCUAAUUAUCUAAACUAAUUUUAUUGUUUUUCCUACUCCAUGACAUCAAACCAUUCUCAUAGCCUUAGAUAAACAUCGUGAGAAUAGAUAACGAUAUUUGAUACAGCUAUAUGUGGGAUUGAUAAAUCUUUUAUACUAUAACUGAUAUUAUCUUGGAUUUUUUUCCUAUUGUCCACAAGUUCAUGUAAUAUGAAGUGUAUCAAAAGACAUGGAAUCAAAUCAAAUUGAUGUAUGAAUUAUCGUUGUGUCAAUAACUAAUUUAUUGAAGAAAUAUUUAGUUUUGAUUGCAAGGUUGUCUCAAAUGACAUUGUAGUCUAUUUUGUGUUCAAAUUUAUGAUGUAUCAAACAAGAUUGUAUUAAAUGAUAUUGUGAAAAAUUAUGGUUUAUCAACAUCCAUGCUACUUGAUUAAACAAGAAGUGAAAACCCAACACUAAUAAGCAUAUCAUAAUCAACAUACACAUACAUAACAUCUCAAUUAAAUUUGAAUUAAUCGAAAACAAAAACAAAGUAAAAUAAAAAACACUUAAACCAUAACGCGUGAACCUUUCUAUCCAUCUAUCACCAUGACCCACAACAUACAUACAUCAAAUUAACACAAAGUGUAACAGAUUUCCGUCUAUACUCAUCUCAACCUUACACUCAAUUGAUUCACGAGGAAUGCUAAAUCAUUACAUGGAUUACCACAAAAAAACUCUCUUCCAAAAAAAUCACUCUAACUGAAUUCUUUCCCUCUCUCAAUUCACUUAUAAAUUUACAUCAAAUGUUUAGCAUCGGCCUUGACUUCAACACUAAUAGCAUCCAUUUUACGUCACUAAUGGAGGACGUAAACAUGUUUAGUCAUUUAUUUUUUUUAUCUUCACCUACUAGGAUAAAUUAUAUUACAAUAAAACACACUCAUAAUAUGGUCCUCUAAGCCAUCAUCAAAAGAAACAUCACACAAUCUAUUAUUAUGAAAUGCCAAGGAUUAUAAAAGAGCAUAAACUAACAUAAAUUUGAAUAAGUAUAUAUAGUCCAUAUCAUUUUCUCAUCUUCCUCAUUUUUAUGUAUUUGAUUAUUAAGCAAAAACGUAGACGUAGUGGACCUUUGAGAAUUGAGUCAAAAAGUAAGCGGAUUAAUACCUUCCUACUUUUCAUAACCAUAAAAUACCUCACAUAGUAUUUUAGGAUUAUUUUAUCUAUUUUUUAUUAUAUUAUAUUUGGUAUUUUGUGGUUGUGUUAGGUAUUUAACUGUAGUAGAGAUUUUAUGCGAAGCGAAAACGGAACAAAACAGCAAAAAUCGGAAGAAAAUGCCAAGACUGUGUCAUGGAUUUUCAGAACACCACAAAUUCACCCACUACAGCAAUACCUUGAAGGCUUUCUCCCACUUUUCUUCCAUUAUUCAUACUGAUUUUGUGGUGUUAAGUAAUCGAAAUUCCUCCUAUAAAUUAAUCAGUGGUUUAAGCUUUGGUGUUUAUCUUGAAGCAAGUUUUAUAUUGGCACAUUUAAUUUCCACGAGUUUUAUUUUUCUGUAUUGUAUUUAAAACUCCAAUUUUUAGCAAAUUACCAGUUUAUUUUUGAGGUUUUUUUAAUUUGAUUUCUGUUUCAAUUAUUAUUAAUUCAUUUUAUUGUUUGAAGCUUUACAUGUCAUUUUACUAAUUACCUUUAAUCUUAUUUAGUUGUUAUUUUAAUAUGCCAAAUUUAUAUGGAUUAUUCUUCUUAUCUUACCAUUUAAUUAUCAAAUUAUAUUUCAGUGCUAUACUACUUUCAUAAACAUAUAUAUUUGUUUACUGUUAUGUUAUUUCUAUUUAUGCUUGUUCACGUGUUCAAUAUGCUAGCUUAAAUUACGAGAGUCUGGAUGUGAGAACGUCAUACCGACGAUCUCACAUGAAUCACACUAUAACUGAUGUGUAACGGAGAAUUGUUUUUGGUCUUGAAAAUUGGUUUUCAUAACACGUUUGUGCAAUGCGAUGCAGUGCCAAAACGGAAGUCAUGUAUAGCACCUUUUCAGUAAGGGCAGGUCUGGUGGAGGUUGCAAAGCAGGUUUGGGUCUUAGUUCUGAGCAAUUCGUAUUAUGUCUAUCUGAUAGUUAAGCUGGUACGUAUGUUUGUCUAACCAAACCUUUUAUAUAUAAUCACACAAGACUUGCAUAUCAUUAGAAAAACAAACAUAAUGACAAAAAAAUAACAAAUAAAACAAAAAAAUUGGUUUUUUAUUAUCCAUUGUUAGGGUUUCGAAUUUUGAAAUUCGGAUAAAAUUUCAUUUGUUUGUUAUAAACCAUCAUGAUUUUUAUUUAUUUUUUAAUAUUAUAAUUAUAUAAUUUUUAUUAUUCUUUUUAAAUAAAUCUUAUUAUAUUAUUAAUUAUUUUAAAAAAUUAAAAAGUCAAAUUAAAUAUAUUUAACAUAAAACGUGAGGGAUAUUGAGAAAAAAAUUCUGAAAAAUUCAGUUAUUUGUUUAGUAUAGGUUUGGGAUGAAUAAUUAAAAAGAAUAUAUAAAAAAAAAUACAAUAAAUUACACGGUAAAAAAAGAAAAUUUUAUAGUAUCCCAACAAAGGAAAAUGGUCAAUAAUUUGGGUAAUUGACAAAAUGCACUACCAUUGAGACAACGAGGUGCCAAUCUAUAGUAUUGAUCUCUUUUAUUUCAAAACUUCUCAUUCAUAUUAUAUUUCCUUAGAAAUAGUUGUAUCUAGAUUUUUUCUUCAUACAGCACAAACUUUAACGUAACAAUUGGUACCAUAUAAUUAUUUUUAAUUAUGAUGUUUUUGUAAAUAUAGUUUAUGUGUACAGAUGCUCGGGAAAAAUGGGGUAAAUCACGUUAUGCAAUUUUUUCUAAUUCUUUUACUUCUAAAACCAGUGUUACUUGCAUCUUUUUGAUGCAUCCAUUCAGAUAAUUAAAUUGCCAUUUGUUUGUUAAUAACCCAUCAAUUGUGGAUAUGGUUUUUUAUUUUCUACACUAGACAGAUCCUAUAAUUCUUAUUUUAUAUAUAUAGAGAGAGAGGUGGGGGAGGAAGGAGGGAGACUUCCCACUCCUAACAUUUUCCUUUGUCUUUAUAUGAUUAUAUUAAAUUUAAACAGUAUACUACACAUCUUUAAAUAAAAUGUAAUGUAUGCAUAGUCCAUAUCACCAUGUUAUGUCUAAAUUUGCAUCAACCAUGAGAAGCCUAGAAACCCCGGGACUCGGAAAAACUAAAGGCAUGUUUGAAACACUUUUCAAUUUUAGUUCUUAAAAAUUUUUUUUUCAAAAUUAUUUUUAAAAAUUAAAAAAGAAAAUUAACAAAAAAUUUGUUUGAUAAACUAAUUUUUAAACACUGUUUUUGAAAAAUAUGAAAAUGAAAAAACUGUGUUUGAUAAUCUAUCUUUUAAUGUAUGUAAGAAGAGAGAAUAAAAUGUUAGUAUUAUGGUCAUUUACUUUUAAAUCUAUUUUAUUGUAUAAAGUAUUACAAACUAAAAAAUUAAUUGAUAUUUGGUCGAAUAACAAAUAAUUUGGGUUAAAUCAAUAUUUUAAUGUUUUAUGAAAUGAAAAACUUGUUGAUGUAACUAUCUUUUAAGUAUUUUAAGAAGAGAAUAAAAAUGUAUAUUAUUUGUUAUUUACUUUUAAAAUCUAUUUUAUUGUAUAAAAUAUUACAAACUUUAAAAAAAUUAAUCUGAUAUUUGGUCGAAAAUUACAAAUAAGGGUCUAAAUCUAAUUUUAAUUUACAAAUCACAUAAACCUUGUUUGUAAUAAGAUACAGAAAAAGAACAAAUAAAAAAUGGGAUUCCACGGUUUAUAAUAGAGAGAAAAAAUUUAUAAGUGAAAAUAAUUAAGAAACACAAAAAAAUUAAGUAAAAUAAAUAACAUAUUUUUGAAAGGUUAAUUAUACAUAAAAGCGCAUAAAUAAAAGAAAUAACAUACUCUUUAAAAUACAGUUUUUUUAUUUUAUUUUAAAAAUAUAAAAAUUAUUUAAAAUUACAUUAAUGCUAUUAUGAAAAUUAUAAAUUUUAUGUUUUUUUUUCAAUUUUUAAACUAAAAACUAAAAAGUACACAAAUUAAACAGUUAUCACUUUUUGCUUUUAAAAACUGAAAAAUAAAAAGAGUUUUUAAUAACACUUUUAUGAAACAUAUAUAUUCAACAAAUUUUUAAAGGUUAAAUUUUCAAAAACUAAAAAAGAGUUUUAAGAUACAUUUUCAAACAUACCAUCUCUGCGAUGCUUGGAGACUCUUUUUUUUAUAAAUUUAUUUAUUUUUUAAUAUAAUAAAUUUAUAAAUAAUUUAUUUUCUUUUCAAAUAAAAUCUUAUUUAUCUUAUAUCAUUAAUUUUAAUAAAUUAAGAAGAUCAAUAAAUUAUUUAUGCAUAAUUAAAUUUAAUAAUAGUCAAACAUAAAAAUAUAUCAUUUAUUAGAAUUACACUAAUUAUAAAAAGGUGUCUUAUAACUUGAAUGAGUCUAAAAUACUUAAAUGGGAGCAGUUGAAUCAUCACAAAUUUUAAACAGUGGCAGUGGCAUUAUUGGUUAAGUUUACAGUGGCAGGUUAUGUAGUUAACAGAUUCAGUUAAGUUAAGUUGUGUUUUAUCCAUUGACAGUUAAGUUUCUUACGGUAAUAGCGGGUUAGUUGAGCUUCAUACAUAACACAGUGUAACAUUCCACUGGGAAAAUUCUUCUCUCCUCUGUCAGUAAUCUCUCAGUCAAUUGUCACGCAGUUAGGCAGCAGUAAGCGCAUAUGAAAAAAAGGGAGAGUAGCGGUGAAGCCGGUGAAGUAAUCAGAGAAGUUCAAGCUAGUAGCAGCAGUAACGCCGCAUGAAAAAAGGAGAGUAAGCCGGUGAAGCCGACGUGAAGUAAUCAGAGAAGUCAGCUAGUAGCAGCAGUAAGCGCAAUGAAUAAAGGGGAGAGUAAGCCGGUGAAGCCGGUAGAAGUCAGAGAAGUCAAUGCAGUUACGCAGUAAGGCGCAAUGAAAGAGAGGGGAAGAGUAAAGCCGGUAAAGCCGUGACGUAUGUAGAGAAGUCAAGCAGCUAGCACAGUAAGCGCAAUGAAAAAAAGGGGAAGAGUAAAGCCGGUGAAGCCGGUGAAAGUAUUAGAGAAAGUCAAGCAGAGCUAGCAGUAAGCGCAAUGAAAAAAAGGGGAAGAGUAAGCCGGUGAAGCCGGUGAAGUAUAGGAAGUCAAGCAGUAGCAGCAGUAAGCGCAUUGAAAAAAGGGAAGAGUAAAGCCGGUGAAGCCGGUGAAGCCGUGGUGAAGUAUCAGAGAAGUCAAGCAGUAGAGUGUAGCGCAAUGAAAAAAGAGGGAGAGUAAAGCGUGAAGCCGUGAAGAUCAGAGAAGUCAGCAGAGCUUAGCAGUAAGCGCAAUGAAAAAAGGGGAAGAGUAAGUCGUGAAGCGUGAAGACAGAGAGUCAAGCAGUGCAGAGUAGCAUGAAAAGGAAAAGGGAAGCGUGAAGAUCGAGAGGCAAGGAGUCGCAUAAGCCAUGAAAAGGGGAGAAGUAAAGUUGGCGGCCGUGACCAUAGAAGUAGCAGUAGCAGCAAUAAGCUAUGAAAGGAAGAGUAAAACCGGUGAAGCCGAAGUGAGUCAAAGUAAGCGUGAGCGCGAAGAAGAGUAACGGUCGAGAAGCAAGAGUAGCAGAGCAUGAAAGGAGGUACCGGUAAGCCGAAGUAUCAAGAAGUCAAGCAGUGCGCUGUGGAAGAAAAAGGGAAUGGGGAGUAUAAAGCAAGCUUAGGAUAGCGAUGCAGGGAGAAAGCCGGGAUAGGCGUCGAGUACGAGUAACCAAUGAAAAAGGAAGAGUGGCCAAGUUCAGAAGUCAGCAGAGCAGUAGCGCAAUGAAAAAAAGGGGGAAGAGUAAAGCCGGUGAAGCCGGGAGUUCAGGAAGGUAACAGUAGCUAGGCAAAAAAGGAAAGAAACGGUGAGCGUGAGUACGGAGUCAAGCAGUAGCAGCAGUAAGCGCAAAAAAGGAGAGCGGUAAAGCCGUGAGUAUCAAGAAGUCGAGAGCAGCGUAACGCAUAAGGGGUAAGCGUGAAGCCGGUGAAGUAUCGAGAUACGCAGUCUAAGCAAGGGGGAUAAGGUGGCCGGAAGUACAGAAAAGUUCAAGCAUAGCACAUCUAAAGGAAUAACCAAGAGUGAGAGCAGAGGUUUCAGAGUAGAGCGACGAAUGUAAGGGGUAAGCCGUAGGGAGUAUCAAGUCCACAGUAGCGAAUAAGCGCAGAAAAGGAAGUCGAAGCGUAUCAAAGAAGUAGCAGACAGCAGUAACGCAAAGGAACCGUGAGCCGUAGAAGAAAGUCAGAGUAGAGCCGUAGGCAUAAAAAAGGGAGUAAGCGGGAAGCGGAAGUCGAGAAGUCCGCAGUAGUAGCCAAGAAGGGAGAAAACCGGGACGUGAAGUAUCGGAGUCGCAAGUCGCGCGAAGCAAAAAGGGAUAAAGCGUAGCUAAGUUCGGAGUCAAGCAGCAGAAGAUGAAAAAAAGGGGAAGAGUAAAGCCCGGUGCCGGUGAAGAAUCAAGAAUCAGCUAGACAGUAGGCAAGCAAAAGGAGAUUAAGCGUGAAGACGAAAGCAGUAAGAGCGCAGAAAGAGUAAAGCGUGAACCGUGAAGAAGAGAAGUCAAGCAAGUAGCACAAACGCAAUGAAGGGAUAAGCGGGCCCGGUGGACAAGAAUACAGUACAAUGCAUACAAGGGAGAGUUACGUAAGCCGUGAAGUAUCAAAAGCACAGAAGCAGUAAGCGCAUAAAAGAAGAGAAACCUGAAGCAGAAGUCAAAGCAGAGCAGCAGUAAGCCGUAAGGAAGAAGCGGUGACCGCUGAAGUAUCAGAGUCACAGUAGAGAGUAACGGCAUGAAAACGAAGAAGUCGUUGAGCCGGGAAGUAUCAAAGCACAGUAGCAGCAGUAAGCGCAAUGAAAAAAAGGGACGAGAAAGCGUGAGGCUGAAGUUCGAAAUCAAGGUAGAGCAAAGGCAAUAAAAUGAUAAGCGGUGAAGUUGGAGUCGUUAGCACCAAAGUUAAACGAUGAAAGGGAAACCGGUAAGCGAAGUAAUGAGAAGUAGCGAGCAGCGUAAGCGCAAUAAAGGAAGAUAAAGCGGUAAGGGAAGAUGAGAAGUCAGCAGUAGGUAUAAAAAAAGCCGGUGAAGGCCGGAGUUCAGGAAGUAAGAGUAGAGAUAACGCGAAGGAAGAGUAAGCCGAAGCCGAAGUUCGAGCAGCAGUACAGUAAGCGCAAUGAAGGAAAUAAACAGACCGGUGAAGAUCAGGAGUAGCAUAGACAGAACCAAUAAGAAGAAACGGAGUAUAAAGAAGCAUGCAGUGUAACCGAUAAAAAGGGGAAAGAUCCGACCGGUGAAAUCAGAAGUAAGCGUAGGCGAAGCAAAAGGAAGUAAGUCGGUGAUUUAGAGAGUUCAAUGCAAUAACAAUGAAAAAGAGGAAGAGUAAAGCCGUGAAGUCAAAAAGUCAAGCACGGUGGCAUGAAAGGGAAGAAGUAUAACGGAAGCCGGAACGUCAGAGAAUCAAGCAGUAGCAGCGUUAGGCUGAUAAAAGGGAGUAAAUGUGAAGGGACAGGCAAAUGAGCAGAAGCGAAUGAAAAGGGAAGAAGUAACCGUUGAAGCGUGGUGAAGUUAUAGAGAGUCAAGCAUAGCAGUCAGUAGGCAAUGAUAAAAAGGGGAAGAGUAAGGCCGGUGGAAGCCGCUGAAGUAUCAGAGAAGUCAAGCUAGUCUAGCAGCAGUAAGCGCAAUUGAAAAAGGGAGAGUAAAGCCUGAGCGUUGAAGUAUCAGAGAAGUCAAGCCAGUAGCAGCAGUAGCGCAAUGAAAAAAAGGGGAAGAGUAAAGCCGGUGAAGCGGUGAGUAUCCAGAGAAGUCAAGCAGUAGCAGCGUAAGCGAAUGAAAGAAGGGAAGAAGUAAAGCGGUGAAAGCCGGUGCAGUAUCAGAGAAAUCAAGCAGUAGCAUGCAGUAAGCGCAUCUAUGAAAAAAAGGGGAAGAGUAAAGCCGGUGAACGCCGGUGAAAGUAUCAGAGAAGUCAAGCAGUAGCAGCAGUAAAGCGCAAUGAAAAAAAGGGAAGAGUAAACCCGGUGAGCGGUGAAGUAUCACGAGAAGUCAAGCAUAGGCAGCAGUAAGCGCAAUUGGAUAAAAAGGGGAGAGUCAAGCCGGUUAGGGCCGGGUAAGUAUCAGAGAGUCAAGGCAGUAGCAGCAGUAAGCGCAAUGAAAAAAGGGGAAGAGUAGCGGUGAGCCGGUGAAGUUAUAGAGAAGCAAGCGAUAGCAGCAAGUAAAGCCGCAAUGAAAAAAAGGGAAGAGUAAAGCCGGUAGCGGUUGAGAGUUAUCAGAGAAGUUCAAGCAGUAGCAAAGCAGUAAGGCGCAUUGAAAAAAGGGGAAGAAGUAAAGCGCGUGAAGCGUAUCAGAGAAAUCAAGCAGAGUAGCAAGCGUAAGCGCCAACUGAAACAAGGGAAGAGUAAAGCCGGUUUGAGCCUGUAAAGUAUCAGAGAAGUCAAGCAGUAGCACAGUAAGCGCAAUGAAAAAAGGGGAAGUAGAAGAGGUAAAGCCGGGAAGUAUCAGAGGAAUCAAAGCAGUAGCAGCAGUAAGCGCAAUGAUAAAAGGGAGAGUAAAGCCGGUGAAGCGUGAAGUAUCAGAGAAUCAGCAGUAGCAGCAGUAAGCGCAAUAUGAAAAGGGGAGAGUAACUUGAAAGCCGGUGAGUAUCAGAGAAGUCAAAGCAGUAGCAGCAGUAAGCGCAAUGAAAAAGGGGGAAGAGUAAAGCCGGUGAGCCGUGAAGUAUCAGAGAAGAUCAGAGCAGUAGCAGCAAGUGAAGCGCAUGAAAAAAAGGGAAGAGUAAAGCCGUGAGGUGAAGUAUCAGAGAACGUCAAGAGUAGCAGCAGUAAGCGCAAUGAAAAAAAAGGGAAGAAGUAAAGCCGGUGAAGCCGCUUGAGUAUCGAGAAAGUCAAGCAGUAGCAGCCGUAAGCCGCAAUGAAAAAAAGGGGAAGAGUAGCGAAGCCCGGUGAAAGAUUCAGAGAAGUCAAGCAGUAGCACGCAGUCAAGCGCAAUGAAAAAAAGGAAGAGUAGCCGGUGGAAGCCGGUGAAGUAUCAGAGAAGUCAAGCGUAGCAGCCGUAGCGCAAUGAAAAAAAGGGGAAGAGUAAAGCCGUGAAGCCGGUGAAGUAUCAGAGAAGUCAAGCAGUAGCAGCAGUAACGCAAUGAAAAAAGGGAGAGUAAAGCCGAUGAAGCCAGUGGUAUCAGAGAAGUCAGCAGUAGCAGCAGUAAGCGCAAUGAAAAAAGGGGAAGAGUAAGUCGGUGAACCGUUAGUAUCAGAGAAGUCAAGCACAGUAGCAGCAGUAAGCGCAAUAAAAAGGGGAGAGUAAAGCCGAUGAAGCGUGAAUAUCAGAGAAGUCCAAGCUAGUAGCAGCGUUAAGCGCAAUGAAAAAAAAGGGGAGAGUUAAAGUUCGGUGAAGUUAGAGAAGUCAAGCAGUAGCAGCAGGAAGCGCAAUGAAAAAAAGGGAGAAGUAAAGCCGGUGAAGUAAGUAUCAAGAGAAGUAAGCAGUAGCAGCAGUAAGCGCAAUGAAAAAAAAGGGGAAGAGUUAAAGCCGGUGAAGCCGGUAAGUAAUCAGAGAAUUCAGCAGGUAGCAGCAGUAAGCGCAAUUGAAAAAAAGGGGAAGAGUAAAGCCGGUGAAGCGUGAAGUAUCAGAGAGAAGUCAAGCAAGUAGAGCAGUAAGCGCAAUGAAAAAAAGGAAGAGUUUUAAAUCCUUGAAGCCCGGUGAAGUUAUUAGAGAAUCACGCCAGUCGAGCAGCAGUAGCGCAAUGAAAAAAAGGAAGGUAAGCCGGUGAAGCCGCUGAAGUAUAGAGAAGUCAAGCAAAGUAGCAGCAGUAAGGCAAUGGAAAAAAAGGAAAGCAGCAAGAGUAAGCCGAGUGACGUAUCAGAGAAGUCAGCAAGUAGCAGCGUAAGCGCAAUGAAAAAGGGGAGAGUAAGCCUGAAGCCGGUGAGUACAGAGAAGUCAAAAGCUAAGUAUUUAGCAAGCGUAAGCCAAUGAAAAAAAGGAAGAGUUUUAAGCCGGUGAAAGCCGCGUGAAGUUCGAGAAAUCAAGCAAGUAAAUAGUAGCGCAGUCAAGCGCAAUGAAAGAAAGGAAAGUAAAGCCGGUUGAAAGCGGUAAAGUUCAGAAAGUAAGGCAGUUGCAGCAGUAAGCGCAAUGGAAAAAAAAGGGAGAGUAAACCCGGUGAGCCAGUGAAAGUAUCAGAGAAAGAAGUCAAGCAGUAGGCAGCAGUAAGCGCAAUGAUAAAAAGGGGAGAGUAAAGCCGGUGAAGCCGGUGAAAGUAGCAGAGAAGUCAAGCAGUAGCAGCAGAUAACGCAAUGAAAAAAAGGAAGAGUAAAGCCGUGGAAGCCGGUGAAGUAUCAGAGAGUCAAGCACUAGCCAGCAGUAAGCGCAAUGAAAAAGGGAAGAGUAAAGCGGUCUAGGCGGUGAGUAUCAGAGAAGUCAAGCAGUAGCCAGCGAUAAGCGCAAUGAAAAAGGGGAAAGAGUAUAGCGGUGAAUAUCCGAGAAGUCAAGCACGGGUAGCAGCAGUAGCGCAAUGAAAAAAAGGGGAAGAGUAAAGCCGGUGAAGCCGCGUGAGUAUCAGAGAAGGUCAAGCAGUAGCAACUUAGCCAAUGUGGAAAAAAAGGAAGAGUAAAGGCGCGGUGAAGCCGGUGAAGUAUCAGAGAAUCAAGCGUAGCAGCAGUAAGCGCAAUUUGAAAAAGGGGAAGAGUAAAGCGGUGAAGCGGUGAAGUAUCAGAGAAGUCAAGCUAGCAGCAGUGCGCCAAUGAAAAAGGGAAGAGUAAAGCCAGGUGAUGUUAUCAGGAAGUCAAGCAAGUAGCGCAGUAAGGGGCGCCAUAUGAUAAAAGGGGAAGAGUAAAGCCGGUGAAGCCGGUGGAAACGUAUCAGGAGAAAUAGUAGAGCAGUAGCAGCAGUAAGCGCAAUGAAAAAAGGGGAAGAGUAAAGCCGUUGAAGCGCGGUGAAGUAAUCAGAGAGUCAAGCAGUAGCAGCAGUAUAGCGCAAUGAAAAAAAGGGGAAGAGUAAAGCCGGUGAAGCCGCUGAGUACAGAGAAGUCAACAGUAGCAGCAGUAAGCGCAAUGAAAAAAAGUGGAAGAGUAAAGCCGGGUUGAGAUCGAGACGUCAGCAGUAGCCAGCAGUAAGCGCAAUGAAAAAAAGGGGAAGAGUAAAGCCUGUGAAAGCCGGUGAAGUAUCAGAGGAAUCAAGCAGUUAGCAGCGGUAAGCGCGCAAUGAAAAAGAGGAAGAAUAAAGCCGGUGAGCCGGUGACAGUAUCAGAGAAGUCAAGCAGUAGCAGCAGUAGCGCAAUGAAAAAAGGGGAAGAGUAACAGCCGGUGAAGCCAGUGAAGUAUCAGAGAGUCAAGCAGUAGCAAGCAGUAAGCGCAAUGAAAAAAAAAGGGGAAGAGAAAAGCCGGUUGAGCCGGUGAGUAUCAGAGGAAAGUCAGCAGUGGCAGCAGUAAGCGCCAUGAAAAAAGGGGAAGGUAAAAGCCGAUGAAGCCGGUGAAGUAUCAGAGAAGUCAAGCCAGUAGCAGCAGUUAGCGAGGAAGAAAGGGGAAAGAGUAGUCGGCGUGAAGUUAUUAGAGAGUCAAGCGAGUAGCAGCAGUAAGCGCAAUUGAAAAAAAGGGAAGAUAAGCCGGUGGAGCCGGGUGGAAGUAUCAGAGAAGAUCACAGCUAGUCGUAGCAGCAGUAAGCGCAAUGAAAAAAAGGGGAAGAGUAAAGUCGGUGAAGUAGAGGAGUCAGCAGUUCUAGCAGCAGUAAGCGCAAUGAAAAAAAGAGGAAGAGAAGUGUGAAUAUCAAAGAAGUCAGCAGUAGCAGCAGUAAGCAGCAUGCAAAAAAGGAGAGUAAGGGUGAAGCCGGUGAAGUAUCAGAGAAUCAAGCCAGGAGCAGCAGUAAAGCGCAGAUGGAAAAAAAAGGGGAGAGUAAAAGCCGGUCUGAAGCGGUUGAAGUAUCGAGACAAUCAGCUAGCAGCCAGUAAGCGCAAUGAAAAAAGGGGAAGAGUAAAGCCGUAGAAGCGGUGAAGUAUUAGAGAGUCAACAGUAAAAUUGCUGCAGUAAGCGCAAUGAAAAAAAGGGGAGGAGUAAAGCGGUGAAGCGCUGAAGUAUCAGAGAAGGUCAGCAAGUCAGCAGCAGUAAGCGUAAUGAAAAAGGGAGAAAGUAAAGGCCGGUGGAAGUAUCGAAGAAGUUAAGCAAGUAUAGCAGCAGUAAGCGCAAUGAAAAAAAGGGAGAGUAAAGCCGGCUGAAGCCGGUGAAGUAUCAGAGAAGUCAAGCAGUAGCAGCAGUAAGCGCAAUUGAAAAAGGGGAAGAGUAAAGCGUGAAGCGGUGAAGUAUCAGAGAAAUCAAGCCAAGUUGCAAAGAAAAAAAAAAAAAAAAAAAGCAGUUAAGCGCAAUGAAAAAAAGGGGAGAGUAAGCCGGUGAGCGCGGUGAGUAUCAGAGAAGUUCAAGCAGUAGCAGCCAGUUAAGCGGCAAUGAAAAAAAGUGAGAGUUAACCGGGUGAAGCCAGUGGAUCAGAAGAAGUCAAGCAGUGGCAGCAGUAGAGCGGCAUGAUAAAAAGGGGAAGAAGUAAAGCCGGUGAAGCCGGUGAAGUAUCAGAGAGUUUUCAAGCAGUAGCAGCAGUAAGCGCGAUUGAAAAAAAGCGGGAGAGUAAAGCCGGUGAAGUCGGUGAGUAAUCAGAGAAGUCAAGCCGUUAGCAGCAGUAAGCGCAAUGAAAAAACAAGGGAGGAGUAAGGCGGUGAAAGCGGGAAGUAAUCAGAGAAUUCAAGCAGUUAGCACAGUAAGCGCAAUCCGAAAAAGGGGAGAGUAAAGCCGGUGAGCCGGUGAAGUAUCAGAGAAGUCAGCUAAGUAGCAGCAGUAAGCGCAAUGAAAAAAGGGUAAAGAGUAAAGCCCGGUUGAGCCGGUGAAGUAUCAGAGAAAGAGAAAAUAUAUCCUCCAGAAGAAACUAUAAUCCGCCAAGAGUUACAGCGCCAAAAGAGUGCUAAAAGAGUUACAAGACUGUCAACCAAAAAAAACGUCUGGAAUGAAAAAGAGUGAGGUUUGUAAAAGAUGCAAUCAAAGCUUUCAUAUGGAAUAGGCACUAGUAAGGGCAUAGAAAUGGUUGUAAAUGAAGAGAGAAAGAUGAAAACAAAGCGGAAAGGUGUAAUGCUAGAGAAACAGGUCCAAUCCAGCAAGAAGAAGACAGAAUGAACAAAGGGCAAGGGUAAAUGCUACAGAAACAGGUGUCAAAUCCGCAAAGAGAACACAGAUGAAAACAAGGGAAGGGCAAGCUGAAAUGUGAUACUCAAAUUAACCUGCAUGUUCGCAUGUCAGCUUUUAUUUCAUUGUUUUCAUUUUGUAUGGAGAUAUGAUGUUUCAUUUCUUUUUUCAUAUUUUGGAUAUUACAAAUUCAUUGGAACGUUUUCUUUCUUCCAUUUUUACAUUCUUUUAUACUCUUUCUGUUAUAUUAAACAUUGUAAUGCUACCAAUUUGAUAUUACAUAAUUGUUCUUAAUAUGUAUAUUCGCCAAAUCAUGAGAAUCUCUUUUCUCAACUUUUCCAUUUCAUUAUGCGUCUUGACUUUGAAAUUAUCUUUCUUCAAUGUAUUUAUGGAGAUCACAAGAUGCAAACAAAUGUAAUUGAUUACAAAGAGACUAGGCUGAAGAUUAAUUUGAGCCUAUUGCUUCCUUCUGAGAAAUAUUAUGGACAGAGACGCAUGACCGAUAUAUUUCACAUGGAAUGCCUUAUAGCACAAGAGUUCUGAUGUUGAAGUAAAUUCAUACGGACGGAUUACUCAAUUGAAUCACAAUAUUAACUAUGUGUACGAGAAUUGUGUUUUGGGUCUGAAAAUUUUAUUUGUAACACGUUUCUUGUGCAAUGCGAAUGCAGUUGCCAAAACGGAAGUCAAUGUAUAGCACUUUCAGUAGGCAGGUCUGUGGGAGCGUCUGCAACAGGUUUGGGUCUAGGUUCUGAGCAAAUCGCAUUAUGUCUAUCUGUAGUUAGCUUGGAUGAUAUGUUUGAAUUUAGAACUGCUCUUUGUUUUUGACAUAACAUAAUGAUUAAAAGGUUUUGUAUUUGUCUGCCUCUUCUACAAACAUGGCUUCAUAGUCUCAUCAGAAACCCACCAGAAAGAGGCUNAGGAACCACAUGAAGAAGUUGAAUAAUUUUCCAAGCAUUACCCCCUACACUAAAUAUUUCGACUUUGUUGGGACUCAAAGAUAGAAUCUUAUAAGUAUCGGUUGAAUUAUCAUAACCAAAUGAAAAGCGGGAAGACCUGCGAUAGUCAUAUGCAUUUUGGUGAGGAUUGGAGUGAUGUCCAAAGUAGACAGAAAAUGUGUGGGCGGCUGGGUUCCAUAAUUGAAACCAGGUGUAUUGAAGAUCUGUUGAAGAAAUAACACUGAAACAUAUCAAUCCAUUGCAGGAACCAAUGAAUUCGUAGCAAUUGUCGACGCUGGCUGAGAUGUAUUGUUUGGUGUACUUUAUCAUGGAAGGAUUGUUUAGUAAAGUAUUGAGGGGAUAGGGUUGGAUAACAGAUUCCUGAGACACGCCUAAGAUUUGUGUGAGAUUCUUUUUUUUUUUUGAACGUUGAAGAUGCAGUUUGAUAAAUUUUGGAUCGGAGAUGAUGGCGUUCCAUGCUUUGGUCACGCAUCUCAGUUGCGUCAAAGAUCUAACCGGAAGGUAUGACAGAACUUGUAAGAUGAGUUCUUCGGGAAGGAAUAAUAGAUUGCCGUUGGAUUUCAUCACAACUUGCGCACUCUUAAAACUGAAAUAGAAAUAGAAAGCUGAACCCUAAUAAACGUAAACAAGCUGUUACUCAUUUAAAUAGGGUUUCUUAAAAUGUUUUUUUUAUAUGUUUGUAUCCUUUAAUUUUUAUGUGAGCCCAACCAACAUGCAAAUUCGCCUUUUUGUUUUCUAUAUUUUUUUAAACCAUUCUAAGGAAUACACUAGUGGUAUUAUUUUAAGAUUUUAAAUAAUAUUAUAUAUUUUAAUUUNUUUUUUUUAUAUGUUUGUAUCCUUUAAUUUUUAUGUGAGCCCAACCAACAUGCAAAUUCGCCUUUUUGUUUUCUAUAUUUUUUUAAACCAUUCUAAGGAAUACACUAGUGGUAUUAUUUUAAGAUUUUAAAUAAUAUUAUAUAUUUUAAUUUUUAAUAUCUAUAAAAUUUUACAUAAAUUUUUAUUAUAGAAAGCGAUACAGAACCAUAUAUAAAUAAAAAUAAAAGCUUACAAAAUAUAGAAAAAGUAAUCGAGCGUGUAUAUAGACCAAUAUAUUUAGCAAAAGUCCAAGUCAAAACAUCAAUAAAAAAUUGCCUAACCACAAAAAAAAAAGGAAAAACUAUUACAAAUAUAUUCAAAUAAUAAUGACAAAUAAAUUCAAAUUACCUCAUUUUUUAUAUUACGUUCAUUCCUUACAAACUUUCAUAUUCUAAAUCAUAUUUAAUGAUGUUUUUAUGUCAACACUAUCAAAUAUAUUAUUGAGUUUUGAUGUCUACCAUAAUUUAUAUCUAAAUAUUUUGUGAUUCAAAAUUGAAAUUUAUUAAAAUAAAAUUAAAAACAAAUACUCUAUUUACUCGUAAAUUACUUUUUCUGUUCAUCAUGUCUCCCUUUUUCUAGAAAAAACAAAUACUCUAUUUACUCGUAAAUUACUUUUCCCUUUUUCUAGAAGCUAAAUAAUCCCCGAAGCAAAUUACUCAAACCCUAGCCGCAUAACAUUUAAAAAAAAAAUCUCAACAUCAACCACAAUCAACUAUAAUUAGUCUGAAAUCCUAAAGCCUAGGAGAAAAAUAGGGGCUUCGGUGGUGAGAAGAUUGAUAUGAAAGGAAUAAGUCUCACCGGAGCUUCGCAACUCCGGCGAGAUCCCGACGGUCGAAGAAAUACCUCAGGUAAAGGAUUGCGACUCUUACUCUUUAGCUCCAAGUCCUCGACUUCUUCUCCCCUUCUUCUUCAAAUCUUCACCCUCUACUCGUCAAAGCGCUUUUUCUAAUGAACUGCGAUUUCGUCCAGGUUGAUUGAGCUUUGGUGUGUAGGUUGGGAUGUGAUUUCAGCAGGGUGACGGUGCCAGAAGGGAGAGGCCUUUCAAUGAAUGAGCGCUCCCUUUUAUAGAGUUCAAUACGAGGUUCAAUCCGCUCCUCCUUCAUGAGCUGGCAAAUCUUUGGAUGAAUCAAUCCGUUAGCCAAAAGAAUCUCGUCCAGAUUUGGUGGUCCUCCCUUUUGACGUGGACCCCAAAAUGAAGGUAUU
rnacentral:lncRNA from 1 species